GGGGGUAGUUUUUAGUACGUAGGCACCAUGAAUAGCGAAUCGUGCAUACUGCCACUAAGAACCAGCAGUAUCUCUUGAAAAUUUUAUACCGCC
rfam:Glossina austeni unplaced genomic scaffold Scaffold398, whole genome shotgun sequence.